UACAGAGGGUGCGAGCGUUAAUCGGAAUUACUGGGCGUAAAGCGUGCGCAGACGGUCACGUAAGUCGGGUGUGAAAGCCCCGGGCUCAACCUGGGAAUGCAUUCGAGACUGCGUGGCUAGGGUGCGGAAGAGGGAAGCGGAAUUUCCGGUGUAGCGGUGAAAUGCGUAGAUAUCGGAAGGAACACCAGUGGCGAAAGCGGCUUCCUGGUCCAGCACCGACGUCAGGCACG
rnacentral:rRNA from 1 species